rnacentral:lncRNA from 1 species
GGAAAAUGAAAGUGCACCCAUUAGAAUAAGGUUGUGGGAGCCUUGAGUGAGUGGAGUGUGACAUCAUGGAUGAUGUCAUGGUGGUGGACCAUUUUUGAGAUUAAAGAAAAGGAAAAAGAAAAGAAAAGAGCCCCCACUCCUUCUCUCUCCUCCCUCUCUUCUUCCUCUCUCCCGUUGGCUUCUCCUCCAUCUUCAUUGUGCGAAGACCAGAAAAUUGCAGAGAAGAAGGAGUUGCAGCCAUGGUCGUCCGCUCCCGCUCGCACGCCGCCGUCGCCGUGUGUCCGCCUCGCGCCGCCCGUGCGCUGCUCGCCGGUCCGCUCGCGUCCGCGCUCGCCCGCGCUUGGCCGGCAUCCCGAGCUGCUGUUCAGCUCGUGCGAGAGCUACCGGAGCUCGUCCCCGCCGCCGUGAACCGCCGUUCGUCGCCGCCGGAGCUUCGCCUUGCCUCCGCCGCCCUUGGCCGCCUCAACCGGCGCCGGAUCCGCCCAUUCUCGGCCUCAAACCGCCAUGGACAGCAACCAAGAAAAAUGGGUAUGCAGCGGACGUUUGGCCCGUUUUGGCCGCCUUCCCGAGCCCGGAUGCUCGGCCCGCUUUGAGGAAAGUUGUUCUCCUCGGCGUCCCCGUCGUUUUGGUCCGCUCGGUUCGCUAAUCCGGUGAGUUUAGCUCACUAAACCUCGCUUAGAGGGUUAAUUAUGCUUUAGGUGUGCUUAGCUUAAGUUGAUUAAGCUUAUGUGGUUAAUUUAGUUGAUUUAAUUAUGAUUUAGAUUAAGAUGUUUGUUUAAUCUAAAGUAUGUUUAAUUAAAUGCUAAGAGAGUUUAUUUAAAGUUAAGCCUUGAUGNNNNNNNNNNNNNNNNNNNNNNNNNNNNNNNNNNNNNNNNNNNNNNNNNNNNNNNNNNNNNNNNNNNNNNNNNNNNNNNNNNNNNNNNNNNNNNNNNNNNUUAAAAUAUUAUUAUUAUAAAAAAAAACAGAAAAAUUAUUUUUGACCCCGGUUGUUCAGAAUUUCGUGCCGGUCGCUACGGUACAUUCGGAUUCUGAAAUUGAUGAUUGGAUAUUAUAAAUUGAGUGUGGAUUUCGAAAACUAUGGAUAUUAUUAUUUAAUUAUUUUCGGAAUAAAUUUAAUUAUUUAUUAAAUUCCGAAAAUUUUCAUUGGGACCUUAUUUGCUCAGAAUUUCGUGCCGAUCGUUGCUAUGCUUGUAGAAUGUGAAAUUGAUGAUUGGUUGUGAUGAAUUGAGUGUGAUUGUGAUUUAUAGGGAUUCUUUAUGAAAUCCUAAGUGUAGAAACUGAUGGGAGAUUGGCUGUGAAAUAUUUCCUAUUAAAGGUCGUGCCCAGAGAGGCCGUGAUAAACCACCUUGGAAAGGUCGUGCCCGAUGAGGCCGUGAAAAACCACCUACAAGAGGUCGUGCCCGAUGAGGCCGUGAAAUACCACCUAUUAGAGGUCGUGCCCAGAGAGGCCGUGAUAAACCACCUGUGAAAGGUCGUGCCCAGAGAGGCCGUGAUAAACCACCUCUGACCAGAGAGGCCGUGAUAAACCACCUUGGAAAGGUCGUGCCCGAUGAGGCCGUGAAAAACCACCUACAAGAGGUCGUGCCCAGUGGGGCCGUGAAUUGCCACCUGUUAAAGGUCGCGCCGAGUGGGGCCGUGAUGCCACUGAUUUAAAUUUACCGAGUAGGGCCGUAGUUGAGAGCAAUGAUUGAUUUGCUAGAAUGACAUGUAAUCGGCCGAGUCGAUUGAUCGCUGAGACGAUCCAAGUGGUUGAAUGGUUUGAUGAUGUGAUUGUGCCAUGGUUGUUUGGUUAUCAUAAUUGUACGUGGUUGAAUUAUAUAAAUUGUGCUAACCUGCAGAUGAAGGCUGAGGCGAGGUAAGUCCUCUGUGUGAUGUGGCUAGGCCACCCGGGGCGUAUUUUCUUUCUAAUAGGGGUUUAGGGGGUUGAACUUGCUGAGACAUCGUCUCAUCCCGGUUGUGGGAUUAAAAUUUCAGGUCCCUGAUGGACAGAGUGGCCAGAUAGCUUUGGUUGGCCUUGAGGAGUUGCCGAGGUGAAGGCAUCAGAUUGGAGGUCGUGUCCGACUUGUAGGUCGUAGGACAAUUCCUUUUUUUAGAGCCGGUCUUUUGUAGACUUUUGGGCUGUAGGCCUUCGUUUGUAACUUCGUUGGUUUAUGUAAGUGAUUGGUUGUGAAAUUGUUUCCUGCUUUUCUAUCCCGUAUUCUAUUGUCAGGGGUUUUAUAAUACGCUUCCGCUUGUGCAUUAAAGAUUUGAUUGGGUCGGCGACUUAACCUGGGACGUCGCAUUUGAAUGACCAUGGUGGGAUGUUGACGCGCUCGAGGUUCGGGGCGUGACAUUGCCAAAGAUGUACCUUUCUAUAUUUGUAUAUUGAACAAGCAAAUGUGCAUUCUCCUCUUUUUUUGGACUCAAACAAGCAUGAAAAGUAUGCUUGCAUAUUCGUUCAUAGGUCAAAUCGGA